rnacentral:tRNA from 1 species
AGGGGUAUGGUGUAAUUGGCAACACGAAGGUUUCUGGUUCCUUUAUUCUAGGUUCGAGUCCUAGUACCCCUGC